rnacentral:lncRNA from 1 species
AAAAAAAUGUAUACAUGUAUAUAAUAUCAAAGCGAAACUAACGUUUCCGUAAAUUUUCAACAUUUUUUCUCUUCAAGAUACAAUUUGCGAUUUAUAGCAGAAUAAAAAAUUUCAAUAAAUACUUCGGAUGAGUGUUAAUCGUAACUUUUGUGGAUUAGUUAUUUUUUUUUUUCACUCACCUAAAACCUCAUGACGUGGUAAUAAGAUAUUUAUUACUAGGCAUUAAUCAUGAAUAACCCAUGCUAUUGAAAAAGGCUUUUUUGCAGGUAAUUUUAUACAAUUGUCCCGGAAUAAUUCCGUACAUGAUUAGGACAUAUUCGGAUUCACGUUCAAUCUCAGAAUCAUGAAUCAGGAGAUGGAUUGCAUUUCAUUUAAGGGAUAGCUCGAUAGUACCUAUAUAUACUCUGAAGGAAAAAAAA